AGCAGGGGAUCUGAGCUCUUCAAAAAAAUGAAAAAGUAAAACUGGUUUCGUUCUAGGGUUUUAUCAGGGUACAUAGCCAACUGCAAAUCUGAAGUAGCCUAGAGAGCCUGUUUAAGUGCAAUGGAGUCCUCAACCAACAUCUACAAGCCCCACUCAGAUCACUGAAAAAUGGAGAACCCAGAUACAAAAACAACUAUAUCACCGCCGCCACAAGAACCAGACCCCAAGAAGCUCAAAAUGUCGACCACCACCACCAGCGAUGACGAUGAAACCACGACCAUGGACACCACCAAAAAGCAAAGAUACAAGCGUCGAAAGGUUGCAAUUUUCUUCGCUUAUUGCGGUGUGGGAUACCAAGGCAUGCAAAAGAAUCCAGGCGCCAAAACCAUCGAGGGCGACCUCGAAGAAGCCCUUUACCUCUCCAACGCGGUUCCCGAGCAGGACCGCAACAACCCUAAACGCUAUGAUUGGGCCCGCUCCGCCCGUACCGAUAAGGGCGUAAGCGCCGUCGGUCAGGUUGUAUCCGGCCGCUUCUAUGUCGACCCACCGGGCUUCGUCGAUCGCCUCAAUUCCAACAUUUCCCCACAGAUUCGGAUUUUCGGCUACAAGCGCGUGACGGCAUCGUUUAACGCCAAGAAGUUCUGUGAUCGGAGAAGGUAUGUGUAUCUCAUUCCCGUGUUUGCUCUUGAUCCCAGUGCUCAUCGCGAUAGGGAGAGCGUUUUGGCUAGUCUUGGGUCUGAUAAGGAGUUUGUUAAGUGCUUGGAGUGCUCCGAGAGAGGGCGUAAAGUUGGGGGAUUGAUGGGUAAGCGCAAUUAUGAAUUGAGAGGGACGAGUUUUGGGCUAGACAUUUCGUCGAACACCAAUGAGUCUAUGGUUGAGUCUGAGUUUAAUGAAGAAACGAAGGUUUCUCCGGACAAUGCUGGUGGUGAUGAUUCCAAAUCUGAACCCAAAAAUGAAAUUAGCACUAGUAGUAAUAACAAUGGGGUUUCUGGAGUUGAGGUUGAGGAUUCCGAGGAUACUGAUUUGAAUUCGGAGCCACUGAAUGAUACAACAAAAGUUAGUGUUGGUGAAGAGAACGCUAAUGGAGAAGAAAAGCCAGAGAAGGGAAGUGGAAGUGAGUUUUGUUAUGGUGAGAAGGAGAAGGAUCGGUUCAACAGAAUCUUGAAUUGUUAUGAGGGGACUCAUAACUUCCACAACUUCACCACCAGAACUAAAGCUGCAGACCCCGCUGCUUGGCGAUACAUCAUUUCGUUCAAUGCAAACACCACAGUUACAGUUGGGGGUAUGGACUUUGUUAAGUGUGAAGUUGUAGGGCAGAGCUUCAUGCUUCAUCAAAUUAGGAAGAUGAUUGGGCUUGCGGUAGCAAUCUUCAGGAACUGUGCUCCGGAUUCAUUGUUAGAAAUAGCUUUGCAAAAGGAUGUUAACGUCAAUGUGCCUACGGCUCCUGAGGUUGGUUUGUACUUGGACGAGUGCUUCUUUGCGUCGUAUAACCAGAAAUGGGGAGACAGUCAUGAAGAGCUGUCAAUGAAAGACUAUGAACAAGAGGCAGAAGAUUUCAAGAUGAAGCAUAUAUACCCUCAUAUUGCAUCCACAGAGCAAAAAGAAGGUGUCGUGGGUCUCUGGUUGCACUCUCUCAACCACCGUAACUACCCCGAUUUAUGUACUACUGGUGCUGACAACGAUGGAAACACCAGCAAUGAAGAAAGUGUUGAUGUGGGGAAUGUCGAAGAGUAAGUUGUUUCACAGACAAUCAAAUCAAUCUUCUACGUAUGCCUUGUUCUUUCUUCAGUGUUGCCAAUCUUUACACAACUGAUUAUACGGUCUUAUUUUGUUUGGGGAAAAAAGUUGUAGUCCAGUUUCAUUCAUCAUAUGAGUUGAUGCUUAUAACUCUCUGUUGACAAUGCGACUUACAUGUUCAAUCAAUCUUUGCAUCGAGGGACAAGUGAAGUGAAGUGAAGGAGCUUUGCUUCCAUGAAUUUUAGCACAUAUUUCUCAAUUUAAUC